rnacentral:lncRNA from 12 species
CUCUUACUGCCAUCAGCUCUCAGGCUGCAGCGGGGGUGGGGGGCAGUGAGGCCACAGCUGAGACGGGGCAGCCUGUGCCGAGGGGCAGGAGGCCCAGCUGACGAAGGAGAAGGCUUAUCUGGCCUCCAUCGCGGUUCUUGGGAAAGAUGGAAAGCAGAGGUGGUGGAGCAGCUGACCUUCAAAACUGACCUGCGUUGCUGUUUGAGUUGCAAAAAGCCAUUAACCAGAAGGCUAAUGUUUAGCUUUCUGCUGCCAUUGAUAAGAGCGGGGAACUCAGGAAAGCCAUAGCUUUUACCAUUUCCUGACCUGGAGUGAAAACAGCUCUUUUGUCUCCAUCCGUAGACAAAUUUGGGGUCGUAUCCUUUCGUGAGGCUGACCCACCUGUGACUAGCUCAUCUUUCCCUGGAAUUCUCAAACAACAAAAGCCAAGCUGGUCCCACCAUGGAAGGGAAGAAGGGAGUGGCAGGAAUUGUCUGUGCUUUUGCAAUGUGUCCCCAUCCCCUCCACCAACUCUCUGCCCGCUGCACCAUCAUGGAGACAUGCUAGUAGGGGUGACAUGGCAUGACAAAUUCCAUGGACUCAUAGCCCCGUGGCCUCCGCAGACAGCGCUCAUAUAUGCAAGUAGAUGAGUGACCGGUUCUUAUGAAGUCUGGAUGCCAGAAACUUCUAAGAAUGGGCUCUUCUGCUUCUGGAACUGAUGGUUGAAGGCAUCAAGCAGUCCCUGAUCAUGACAGCAGUCCCUGCCAUGCCUUCCCUGGGACACAAGGCUGGCCUCCAUGAUGACAAACAUGCAGGGGAUCCCAGACACCUGGAUGCUCCCCUCCCCCAUCGGAUCCCUCAAGGGAGCUGGGUUCCCUUUAGCCACCCUGAAUGCAGGCCAAAUGGUACUGGAGGCAGAGACAAAGAAAGGAUGUGCAGUACCUUGCUGGAACCCUUCAGUCCUGUGGCUGGGAGAAGAAAAGAUCUGAAAACUGGGCAUAAUCCAGAUUCCUAUCACCAAAGCCCUUUCCAUGCCUUAUAAAUGGGCCGCAGUGUCCACUAGGAGGCUGACAAGUUGUGUCCUUGUCCUGGGAGCUACGCAUCUCCUUUCCUCAGCACCCCAGGCCAUCUGGAGAAGACACUCCUGCCAGAAGAUGUGGACAGUGACAGAGCUUUGGCUGAGGACCACUGAGGGUCCAUCAACAACCCCGAGCAAGCCUGCAUUAUUCCAGCUGAAAAACCGUCUCAUCUUCUGGCACAUGCUGAGGCCAUGUGGUAUAGUGGAAAAGGUUUCCAGAUGGGACUCAAGCCCACAGAGUUACAGCUUCCCAACUACCUGUGUGUAUUAGCCAAGGUUCUCUAGAGAAACAAAAGCAACAGUGUAUGUGUGUGUGUGUGUGUGUGUGUGUAAAGAGAAAGGGGGGUUAUUUUAAGAAAUUGGUUCAUGCAAUUAUGGAGGCUGAGAAGCUCCAUGAUCUACAUUUGGCAAACUGAAGAUCUAAGAGAGCUGAUGCUAUAGUUUCAAUCCAAAAGUUUGUAGAAUCAUAACCCAAGAAGAACUUGUGUUUUAGUCCAAGUCCAAAGGCAGGAAAGACCUAGUUCAAAGUGGUCAUGCAGAAGGAGUUUCCUCUUAUUAAUGAGAGAGUCAACCUUUUUGUUCUACUCAGGCUUUCAACUGAUUGGAUAAGGCCCACCCACACUAGGGAGGGCAAUCUGCUUAACUCAGCCUACCUAUUAAAGCGUUAAUCUCAGGAGCACCUGGGUGGCUCAGUCAGUUAAGCAUCUGACUCAGUUUUGACUCAUGUCACAACCUCUGGUUCGUGGGAUUGAGCCCUGCAUCAGGCUCCACACUCAGUGGAGAGUCUACUCAAGAUUCUCUCUCCCUCUCUCUGUGCCCCUCUCCUGCUUGUGUGUGCAUACACUCUUUCUCAAAAAAAUAAAAUAAAAAUCUCAUUCUAA